GAUGAAAAACGCAGCGAAAUGCGAUAAGUAAUGUGAAUUGCAGAAUUCAGUGAAUCAUCGAAUCUUUGAACGCACAUUGCGCCCGCCAGUAUUCUGGCGGGCAUGCCUGUUCGAGCGUCAUUUCAACCCUCAAGCCCAGCUUGGUGUUGGGGAUCGGCACAGGCGCCCUCGGGCGCCCGCCGUCCCCUAAAUCUAGUGGCGGUCCCGCUGCAGCCUCCUCUGCGUAGUAGUUUUCUCCUCGCAAGGGCAGCUCGGUGGCGACCUCGCCGUAAAACCCCCAACUUCUGAAAGGUUGACCUCGAAUCAGGUAGGAAUACCCGCUGAACUUAAGCAUAUCAAUAAGCGGAGGA
rnacentral:misc_RNA from 1 species